rnacentral:tRNA from 1 species
GGUGGCUCAGUAGUAAAGCACUUGCCUUGCAUGCAUGAGGCCCUGGGUUUGAUUCCCCAGCACCA